UAUCUUGUGUAAUUAUUAUAAAUAUUUGUAUUUGUUUAAUUGAAACAUUUAAUGGAAAAAUAAAAAACGCUAAAAAACUUUUUUCCAUACAGAUUUAUUGCCAGCAUUUUAAUUCAGAGGUAAAAGUGACAUGCUUGUCAAGUAUGCAGUGCAUACUCAAAAUAAGACCUCUGAAUUUAACCCAUCACAGUGAGUAGUAAACAACACACACACAAAACACAGCAGGUCAUGAACACACACACACACACACACACACACACACACACACACACACACACACACACACACACACACACACACACACACACACACACACACACACACACAGUGGGCAGCUACCCCAGCACCAGGGGAGCAAUUAAGCCAAGGUGCCUUGCUGAAGGUCACCAAAACUGCAACCCGCCGGCCAUGAGACUCGAACUGGCAACUCUCGGGUUAAAAGCCCAAAACUCUCUAACCACUGGGCUAAAACUGCCCCAGCUGAAGGACAAUGAGAGGUUUAAGAUUUAUUGCCAGCAUUUUAAUUCAGAGGUGCCUUGCUCAAUGGCACCACAGUCACAAUUCAUUGGUUGUGAGACUCAAACUGGCAACUCUCGGGUAAAAAGCCCAAAACUCUCUAACCACUGGGGUACAACUGCCCCAGCUGAAGGACAAUGAGAAGUUUAAAAUUUAUUUCCAGCAUUUUAAUUCAGAGGUGGAUACCAGUGGGAGGAGGAGGGCCAUUAUACACAAAAAAGUUUUCUUUCAGAUUUAUUACCAGCUUUUAAAUUCAGAGGUGAAAGUGACAUGCUUGUCAAGUAUGCAGUGCAUAAUUAAAAUGAGACCUCUGAAUUUAACCCAUCACAGUGAGUAGUGAACACACACACGCACACAGACACACAGAAGUGGGCAGCUACCCCAGCACCCAGCGAGCAAUUAAGCCAAAGUGCCUUGCUUAAGAUCACCACAACUCACCGGCCCGAGGAACUGGCAACUCUCGGGUUAAAAGCCCGACUCUCACCACUAAGCUACAACUGCCCCAGCUGAAGGACAAUGAGAGGUUUAAGGUAAUGACUUGUUUGUUUAUUAUACUUUGUACUUUUCAUAAUUAUUAUAAAUAUUUGUAUAUGUUUUAAUUGAAACAUUUAAUGAAAAAAGCUAAACAAUGAUCUUUUUGCCCUACAGAUUUAUUGCCAGCAUUUUAAUUCAGAGGUGGAUACCAGUGGGAGGUGGAGGGCCAUUAUACACACAAAAGUUUUCUUUCAGAUUUAUUGCCAGCAUUUUAAUUCAGAGGUGUCUUGCUGAAGGGCACCACAGUCACAAUUCAUUGGUGGUGAGACUCAAACUGGCAACUCAUGGGUAAAAAGCCUAAAACUCUCUAACCACUGGGGUACAACUGCCCCAGCUGAAGGACAAUGAGAGGUUUAAGGUAAUGACUUGUUUGUCUAUUAUACCUUGCGUAAAUAUUAUAAAUAGUUGAAUGUUUUAAUUGAAACAUUUAAAAGAAAAGUAGAAAAUUUGCUGAACAAUGAUUUUGUUAUCAUACAGAUUUAUUGCCAGCAUUUAAAUUCAGAGGUGGUUACCAGUGGGAGGAGGAGGGCCAUUAUACACAAAAAAGUUUUCUUUCAGAUUUAUUGCCAGCAUUUUAAUUCAGAGGUGAAAGUGACUUCUUGUCAAGUAUGCAGUGCAUACACAAAAUGUGACCUCUGAAUUUAACCCAUCACAGUGAGUAGUGAACACACGCAUGCACGCACACAAACACACACACACACACACACACCCCCAGUGAGCAAUUAAGCCAAAGUGGCUUGCUUAAGAUCACCACAACUCACCGGCCCGAGGAACUGGCAACUCUAGGGUUAAAAGCCCGACUUUCACCACUAGGCUACAACUGCCCCACUGAAGGACAAUUGGACCUUUCAGGUAAUGACUUGUUUGUCUAUUAUACUUUGUACUUUGUGUAAUUAUUAUAAAUAUUUUUAUUUGUUUAUUGAAACAUUUAAUGGAGAAAAAAGCUAAACAAUGAUCUUUUUGCCCUACAGAUUUAUUGCCGGCAUUUUAAUUUAGAGGUGGAUACCAGUGGGAGGAGGAGGGACAUAUACACAAUUUUUUUCUUUCAGAUUUAUUGCCAGCAUUUUAAUUCAGAGGUGCCUUGCUCAAUUGCACCACAGUCACAACUCAUUGGUUGUGAGACUCAAACUGGCAACUCUCGGGUAAAAAGCCCAAAACUCUCUAACCACUGGGGUACAACUGCCCCAGCUGAAGGAAAAUGGGAGGUUUAAGAUUUAUUGCCAGCAUUUUAAUUCAGAGGUGGAUACCAGUGGGAGGAGGAGGGCCAUUAUACACAAAAAAGUUUUCUUUCAGAUUUAUUGCCAGCAUUUUAAUUCAGAGGUGCCUUGCUGAAGGGCACCACAGUCACAACUCAUUGGUUGUGAGACUCAAACUGGCAACUCAUGGGUAAAAAGCCCAAAACUCUCUAACCACUGGGGUACAACUGCCCCAGCUGAAGGACAAUGAGAGGUUUGAAAUUUAUUGCCAGCAUUUUAAUUUAGAGGUGGAUACCAGUGGGAGGAGGAGGGCCAUUAUACACAAAAAAAGUUUUCUUUCAGAUUUAUUACCAGCUUUUAAAUUCAGAGGUGAAAGUGGCAUGCUUGUCAAGUAUGCAGUGCAUACUUAAAAUGAGACCUCUGAAUUUAACCCAUCACAGUGAGUAGACACACACGCACACACGCACACACACACACACACACACACACACACACACACACACACACACACACACACACACACACACACGCACACACACACAGAAGUAGGCAGCUACCCCAGCACCCAGCGAGCAAUUAAGCCAAAGUGCCUUGCUUAGAUCACCACAACUCACCGGCCCGAGGAACUGGCAACUCUCGGGUUAAAAGCCCAACUUUCACCACUAGGCUACAACUGCCCCAGGUGGAGGACAAUGGGAGGUUUAAGGUAAUGACUUGUUUGUCUAUUAUACUUUGUACUUUGCAUAAUUAUUAUAAAUAUUUGUAUAUGUUUUAAUUGAAACAUUUAAUGAAAAAAAGCUAAACAAUGAUCUUUUUGCCAUACAGAUUUAUUGCCAGCAUUUUAAUUCAGAGGUGGAUACCAGUGGGAGGAGGAGGGCCAUUAUACACAAAAAAGUUUUCUUUCAGAUUUAUUGCCAGCAUUUUAAUUCAGAGGUGUCUUGCUGAAGGGCACCACAGUCACAACUCAUUGGUUGUGAGACUCAAACCGGCAACUCAUGGGUAAAAAGCCCAAAACUCUCUAACCACUGGGGUACAACUGCCCCAGCUGAAGGACAAUGAGAGGUUUAAGAUUUAUUGCCAGCAUUUUAAUUCAGAGGUGGAUGCCAGUGGGAGGAGGAGGGCCAUUAUACACAAAAAAAGUUUUCUUUCAGAUUUAUUUUCAGCAUUUUAAUUCAGAGGUGGAUGCCUGUAGGAGGAGGAGGGCCAUUAUACACAAAAAAGUUUUCUUUCAGAUUUAUUGCCAGCCAGUGGCAGCUGAUCAGUAGGGGGCGCAGAGAGGAAAAGUUGGCCAGAGAGGAGAUCUACUUUUUUAACAUGUUACCAAAAAGUUAAAUAAAACGUGCAAAUUAAUACAAAAUCAAAUCAUUUAGUUGUACUAUUUCACUGCUAGUCAUGUUAUCAUUUAUCAAUUGGGGUGCCUCCCAAACGAGUGUGUAUGUAGGUCAGUGUAUUUGUUAAAAGCAUGUGACUUGAGGCUGAACUCUUAUUGGCUUGCUUCAGAAUCAGUUUGCUGCACCCCAAUCCCUCCCACUUUUGUUGUUAGCAAAUCAAUAUUGUUUAUGUUUUUGACCUCAUGUGAUUGGACCGUUCUCAGAGUCUCAUAAGCGCGUUGCGGUUUGAAAAUGUUCGAAAAUGUUACAAUUAUAGGUAUAUUUUUCCAAUUGAAAAUGUAUUUUAUUUUAUAGAAACUUAUGGCAAAUUUAAUUUUUGCCAUAUGGGUUGUACAAUUAGAAAUGUAUUUGUUACCCCUAAAAUACAUUUUAAAAUACAUUGUCAUGUAGGUUAAAACUAAAUGUAUUUUCUAAUUCAAAAACAUUAUUGUUUUGAACAUAAAAUAUCCUAUUAAACCUUAAAUUCAAGAAGGAAAAGGCAAAGUUGACCUGACAUACGGGUUUUGCUCUGAAUUUGAGGCUCCCUCGCCCUUUGAUCUUCACAAUCUGUGGAGUCCUACACUUCCGUCUCUCUAUCUUUAGACAUCUUUAGUAAAGAUUAAAGCUCGUGAUCCUCUCCGUGGAGAGCUGAGGUGCUUCUGUUUUGAUCUGAAAACAUGGCAUGAGUUACAUUCUUGCUAUCUGACUCCGUAGAUAAGAGUUUUUAUGUGUUAAUCCCACACCGCCGGCCCGCUGAGCUCAGUCUGACAGCAGACGCGCUAACUCUUCCAUCCAUUUGCUUCUGUGAGCCAAGCCACGCUCGUCCCCAAAGGUCACGUAUAUAUAACACUUAACUCCCCUAUAAAUCUGCCCUCGGGAUCAAAUGCUUGCUUUGGAUCUGUAGACUAGAACACUCCUACAAUGGGAAGAGCAUUGUGUAUGGAUGUAAAUCACGUAGCGCUGUGAAAUUUCAUAAGUUUCACACCAUAAAUUUCUUCUGAUAAGAAACUAAAUUUAAUGAGAUGUGUGAUUCUUGCAUUUUAUGAAGACAAAGUGUUGCUUGGACCCUCUGCUAUGACCUUAGGGGUAGCAAGGCCAUCUGUGAAUGUUAAUAUGGAUGCACAUACACAAACCCUGUACGAAUUUGCAUACUGUGACAGACAGUAUGUACGGUACUGAAUCUGAUAAAGUAGCCUACCUACUCAUCGGCCGUCAAAACUGUUUUUUUUUCUUUAUUAUAUAGUAUGAAAAUGGGUAUUGCGAAGGACAUAGUACACUGUAAAAAGUA